UGGUUUGAUCCUGCCAGUAGUCAUACGCUCGUCUCAAAGAUUAAGCCAUGCAUGUGUAAGUAUAAAUAGUUAACUUUGAAACUGCGAAUGGCUCAUUAUAUCAGUUAUAGUUUAUUUGAUGAAGAAUACUAAUUGGAUAACCGUAGUAAUUCUAGAGCUAAUACAUGUAUAAAGUCUUGUAGACUGCAUUUAUUAGAAUGAAAACCAUAGGUUUCGGCCUAUUCGUGAGUAAUAAUAACUAAUCAUAUCGUAUGCUUAUGUAACGAUGUGUCUUUCAAGUUUCUGCCCUAUCAGCUUUCGAUGGUAGUGUAUUGGACUACCAUGGCAGUAACGGGUAACGAAGAAUUUGGGUUCGAUUUCGGAGAGGGAGCCUGAGAGAUGGCUACCACAUCCAAGGAAGGCAGCAGGCGYGUAAAUUACCCAAUCCUGWCACAGGGAGGUAGUGACAAUAAAUCACAAUGCGGAACAAUGUUUUGCAAUUGGAUUGAGAACAACGUACAAACCUUAUCGAUAAACAAUUGGAGGGCAAGUCUGGUGCCAGCAGCCGCGGUAAUUCCAGCUCCAAUAGCGUAUAUUAACGUUGUUGCAGUUAAAAA
rnacentral:rRNA from 1 species